CUACGGGGUGCAGCAGCUAAGAAUCUUCCGCAAUGGACGAAAGUCUGACGGAGCGACGCCGCGUGAACGAUGAAGGCCGUGCGGUUGUAAAGUUCUUUUCGGGAGGAGGAAUAAGGUUUGUAGGAAAUGACAGACUGAUGACGUUAAUCCCGGAAUAAGCCCCGGCUAAAUACGUGCCAGCAGCCGCGGUAACACGUAGGGGGCAAGCGUUGUUCGGAAUCAUUGGGCGUAAAGGGCGUGCAGGCGGUGUUGCAAGUCUGGCGUGAAAGAUCUCGGCUUAACCGAGGGAACGCGCUGGAAACUGUAAUACUAGAGUACAGGAGGGGACAUUGGAAUUCCAGGUGUAGGGGUGAAAUCUGUAGAUAUCUGGAAGAACACCGGUGGCGAAGGCGAAUGUCUGGCCAUGUACUGACGCUGAGACGCGAAGGUGCGGGGAGCAAACAGGAUUAGAUACCCCUGUAGUC
rnacentral:rRNA from 1 species